GCGACCCUGUUCGGUUGCUCUGUCCACCCUACCGGCUCGCGCUCUGCCGCCUCACAGCUCUACAACUCCUGAUGCCAUCGCGGCCUUGGUCCCGCCGCGCGAUAGUGGCGAGGCAGGCGGCACCGGCGCCGCAGCUCCGCAACAGGAUGGACGCGGAUUCCCCACAGCCCCGACAACUCAGCUGCUGCGGCCCCGAGCCGCCAUACUGCGUGACCUCACUUCCCUAGCAACGGGGGUGGGGCGCGCCCGCAGGCGGGGCGGGGGCGCUGCCGCGCGCCGAGAGCCGUGGCGCGCGGGUGCCGGCUCGCGUCACGUGUCUCGCUGUGUCUUUUCCGCGUUGUUUUCGGUCGCCGCUGCCGGACGUGCGGCCCCUUCGCGGAGAGUGUUUCGCGGCGCCACUGGCUGCUGCUGCUGCUGCUGCCGCCGCCGCCGCCGCUGCUGCCGCUGCCGCUGCUGCCGCUGCUGCCGCGCCGCAUCGCGUGCGCCGCGCCCAGCCCAACCCCGGCCCGGCCCGGCCGCCCCAGCGGCCUGCGCCGGGCCGGGCCUGACGGGGGGAGCUGCCCGCGGCCUGCCGCGUCCCCCUUCCGUAAGGACGUGUGAGCAACACUGCUUGAAAGCACCACUUCUGACUGGAGGAAGAACAAGGUGGUUCUUCAUUGGAUGGUAGCACCUAUAGAAAUCAUGUGCGAGUACAUGUCAAUUUUGCUCAGCGAGCGCUUGCAGAACAUUGCAGACUCAAAACUGGAAGGGAUCUUUUUAUUGAGCAUUGUGUUAAGAAAACUUCCACUAUACUCUAGUUUUGCAGAGAAAGGACAUGCAAGGUCACAGUGCCCUGCAAGCAGAACAUCUUAUCUGACCUUGCCUUAGCCCUGUUUUUCGUACAAAGUUGAAGAUCUGCAAAGAAGCCAGUUUAAUCCAGCCAGCAGUAAAAAAAGUUGCUCAAAGGUAACACCAGAAGAGGUACAAAAUCAGCUAAUGAAUAAUUAUAAGAUAGACCAUAUAAGGCUGGCACAGAACUAGCUCAUACUGUAACACGGCAAGGGAAUUGGUAGAACUAAGAAUCAUGGAUAGAUCUGGUAGGUUAUGUGAACUAAAGUAUUGAAUAUGUAAUAACUUACUAUCCUUUAAAAGUUGUAACAAAAAGCUGCUCGGGGUCUCUUCUUGUGCUCCCAGCCAAGAUGCACCUUAUGGCUAGCAAUAAAACUUCUUAAAAAAAAAAUAAAUUAGAAAUC
rnacentral:lncRNA from 1 species